rnacentral:rRNA from 1 species
GCCGACGAGUGGCGAACGGGUGAGUAAUAUAUCGGAACGUGCCCAGUCGUGGGGGAUAACGUAGAGAAAUUUACGCUAAUACCGCAUACGAUCUAAGGAUGAAAGCGGGGGAUCGCAAGACCUCGCGCGAUUGGAGCGGCUGAUAUCAGAUUAGGUUGUUGGUGAGGUAAAAGCUCACCAAGCCGACGAUCUGUAGCUGGUUUGAGAGAACGACCAGCCACACUGGGACUGAGACACGGCCCAGACUCCUACGGGAGGCAGCAGUGGGGAAUUUUGGACAAUGGGCGAAAGCCUGAUCCAGCAAUGCCGCGUGCAGGAAGAAGGCCUUCGGGUUGUAAACUGCUUUUGUACGGAACGAAACGGUCUGCCCUAAUACGGUGGGCUAAUGACGGUACCGUAAGAAUAAGCACCGGCUAACUACGUGCCAGCAGCCGCGGUAAUACGUAGGGUGCGAGCGUUAAUCGGAAUUACUGGGCGUAAAGCGUGCGCAGGCGGUUAUAUAAGACAGUUGUGAAAUCCCCGGGCUCAACCUGGGA